GAUGAACGCUAGCGGCAGGCCUAAUACAUGCAAGACGAACGGUAACUUUGGUAGCAAUAUUGAAGCAAGAGUGUCGUAAGGGUGCGUAACACGUAUGCAAUCUGCCCUCAACAGGAGGAUAGCUCCCCGAAAGGGGAAUUAACACUCCAUAAGAUUGUGGUCUGGCAUCAGACAGCAAUUAAAACUACGGUGGUUGAGGAUGAGCAUGCGCAUGAUUAGUUAGUUGGCGGGGGUAAUGGCCCACCAAGACGAUGAUCAUUAGGGGAACUGAGAGGUUG
rnacentral:rRNA from 1 species